AUUGAACGCUGGCGGCAGGCCUAACACAUGCAAGUCGAGCGAGCGGCGGACGGGUGAGUAAUGUCUGGGAAACUGCCUGAUGGAGGGGGAUAACUACUGGAAACGGUAGCUAAUACCGCAUACCAUCAGAUGUGCCCAGAUGGGAUUAGGUCGUAGGUGGGGUAACGGCUCACCUAGGCGACGCACCAUAGCUGGUCUGAGAGGAUGACCAGCCACAAUGGGAAUGCGACACGGUCCAGACUCCUACGGGAGGCAGCAGUGGGGAAUAUGGCACAAUGGGGGGAAGCCUUAUGCAGCCAUGCCGCGUGUGUGAAGAAGGCCUUAUGGUUGUAAAGCACUUUAAGCGAGGAGGCGUUACUCGCAGAAUAAGCACCGGCUAACUCUGUGCCAGCCGCCGCGGUAAUAC
rnacentral:rRNA from 1 species